rnacentral:rRNA from 1 species
AUUGAACGCUGGCGGCAUGCUUUACACAUGCAAGUCGAACGGUAACAGGCCGCAAGGUGCUGACGAGUGGCGAACGGGUGAGUAAUGCAUCGGAACGUGCCCAGUCGUGGGGGAUAACGCAGCGAAAGCUGUGCUAAUACCGCAUACGAUCUAUGGAUGAAAGCGGGGGACCGUAAGGCCUCGCGCGAUUGGAGCGGCCGAUGUCAGAUUAGGUAGUUGGUGGGGUAAAGGCUCACCAAGCCAACGAUCUGUAGCUGGUCUGAGAGGACGACCAGCCACACGGGGACUGAGAAACGGCCCAGACGCCUACGGGAGGCAGCAGUGGGGAAUUUUGGACAAUGGCGCAAGCCUGAUCCAGCAAUGCCGCGUGCAGGAAGAAGACCUUCGGGUUGUAAACUGCUUUUGUACGGAACGAAACGGUCUGGGUUAAUACCCUGGGCUAAUGACGGUACCGUAAGAAUAAGCACCGGCUAACUACGUGCCAGCCGCCGCCGUAAAAC